rnacentral:rRNA from 1 species
AUGCCACCGCUACCGAUGACCGACCCUCCCACCGGAAUGGAUAGCCCGGACCCUUUCGACACCCCGUCGGACACCGCCGCCCGUUUGUCGCCACCGAAAACGACCCCCGUACCGCCGCCCGCGCCGAAGAAAAACUUGGGGAUAAAAGAAGUUCAUCGUGUUAAAGCUCCGGCUCAAACAGCUGCAAAGGCCGCCGGGGUGGCAAUUGCCUCUCUAGCAACGACCCGCCACCCUCCCGCCGCUCCCGCCAGAGCCAAACGAGCUAGUAAACCGAAGGCAGCGGGAUCGGGCCUCACCGAGGAGGCCGCGAAGAAGAAGUAA